CUGGGAUUGAGGUAGGAUAGAAGAAAUAAAGAUAGGAGACAACGAAAAUCGUAAUUUUAAAGUGUACUUAAAAAAAAAACCCCAACUGUGACUUAGCGAUUCAGACCCCGUCAGAAAUUCCUAAGGUCCUGAAAGACUCAAUAAACCUGGCUAUUCCUUUGGCUGUAAAUGGGCCCUUUUCACAGUGUAGAUAGUUAUGGUUCGCAUGGAAAACCGGCCUUUGUCUUAGGGAUGGCUCCUGGCUGUCCCCUAAGAAUGGGGAUUGCCCUUCCCCUGAGAAAGGGCCCACCUUCAUCUGUGAAGGGAGUCACCUCUACCCACAGAUGGACAAGAGCACAUCUCCACUCUAAGCCCGGUACAUACCCCCAGCUGGGGCCACCCGGCGCCUCCACAUUCUAUUUCUGAGUGUGGACUUUAAAAUUCUGACCAAUAAACCGUUUUAUGUCUCCCACUGAUGGCGUCUUGAAACUCCUUUUCUGUGAUGGAGGUCAGCACACCUGUACCCUGCCGGGGAAUGAACCAGGCUCCCCUUUUUCGCCUUGGGGACCCUUCUGAUGAUGGGAUUACAGGCCUGUGCCCCCCUGCCGCAUUGCCCUUGACUCCUCUCUGGUUCUUGGCAGUUCCUGUCUGGAACUGUGUGUGUGUGUGUGUGUGUGUGUCCAGCCAACCCCUUCCUCUGAGCCUGAGAGGCCACCCAGGUGUGAAGUCGGGAAGCCGUUGCGUGAGGAACUUCCUGGAUUGCCUCUUUCUGUCCAGCAUGGUGGACAAAAGCGUCAGAUGCCGAAGGCAUAUGGUAGUGUAGCCCAGGCUGGCCUUGAACUCACUAUAUAGCCUGGAGGCAAUCCUGCUUCAGCCUCCCCAGUGCUGGGAUAACAAGAUAUGCCCUACCAGGCCUGGCUUGUGAUUCAUUCUUCCGCAGGUGCACUUUGCUAAUUCUCUACCUGUUUCCUAGAGCAGCAGAAAAUGAAUGAGUCUCAGAAACGGGCCGAGACACUUCUCAGGAUGUUCCCAUCCUUGAACCAUUCCUUCAAGGGAACCAAGGCAAGACAAACAGGAUUGCAGCUAUGGGAAGUAUGACAGGGGGCGUGAUCUCUUCUUGGAGCCGAGUCAGCAGCACAAGCAAACUAUCUGGGGAAUGACCUCUCAUCCCCUUCGGCCACAGCCUGCCGGGCCUGCAAGAUGAGUAAGCUUGAAUGCGUGACUUUACCAAGAGGCUCUUCCCUUAACUCCGUGUCAGAUAAACACCAUGGAAUUAUCACUGAGCAGAAAUGCUGUGAGUGCAGUGAGAGUAAGGUUUCAGCAGGCAGACAUUUCCCUCUUGUAAUGAGAAAACUCCCAGAGGAGAAACAGCCUUUGAAUGAAAUGGAGAUGAGAAAGUAUUUUCCAGGAGGCUAAAUUACACUGUGCAUCAAGAAAUACGUAUAGGAAAGAGACCAUAAGGUCAGUAAGCAUGUGAGUGAAUUUUGCAGUAAGCCAAGCUUACUAUGUAUCAGAAAAGAGAUACUGGAGGAGAACUCCAGGAAUGUAGUGAAUGUGGGAAAGCCUUCAGCCACAGACCUCCCUCAUCCUGCAUCAGAGGAUGUGCAGAGGGGAGAAGCCCUGUGAAUGCAGUGAGUGUGGGAAGACCUCUGGCUGUAGAUCAGGCCUCCCAGUACACCAGUGGACACGUAUCAGGGAGAAGCCCUGUGAGUAUGAUGCAUGUGGGAAUAUGUUCUGUGAGAGGUCAAAUCUCUGUGAGCGUCAGAGGACUCAGGGGAGAAACCCUUCGAGUGUAAAGUAUCCGAAGGCCUUUGAUGAUAGGUCGACUCUCAUUGCACUAGUGAGUGCACACUAGGGAGAAACCUUAUGUGUGUAAGGAGCGCAGGAAAACCUCCCAGAAGCAGAGCAGAUAACGCACACAAGGAAGAAGCCCUACAGGUGUAACCAGUGUGAGAAAUCCUUCUCUGUGAAAUCAAGACUCAGAGAACACCAGAGAACUCGGGAGAAGCCCUUUGACUGUUCUGAGUGUGAGAAAACUUCCUACCACAAGCCCUCCCGCACAAAGCGUCAGAGAACCCACACUCGUGAGAGGCCUUAGGAGUAUAAGGGAUGUGGGAAGUCCUCACCCACACUCCGGGGAAACUCUUGGUUUCCCAUGAAACCUUCAGUAGACAUCAAUGAGGCCUCAUAGACGAAACCCCCACUGGUUUCCUGGAGACUGAGAAACAUUUCCCUUCAAAUUGGAUGACCUAGGGUGGGCAUGGGCCACCUAAUAAAUAUGAGAAACCUUU